UACGUAGGAGGCGAGCGUUGUCCGGAGUUACUGGGCGUAAAGGGUGCGCAGGCGGCCAAGUGUGUUAGGCGUGAAAGCCCGGGGCUUAACCCCGGAAUUGCACCUAAAACUACAUGGCUAGAGCAUUGGAGAGGGUAGCAGAAUUCAUGGUGUAGCAGUGAAAUGCGUAGAUAUCAUGAGGAAUACCAGAGGCGAAGGCGGCUACCUGGACAAUUGCUGACGCUCAGGCACGAAAGCGUGGGGAGCAAAAGGG
rnacentral:rRNA from 1 species